CCAUUACCUCCGUCCCAAAAUUCUUGUGUUUGAUUUGUCUAGAUACGAAUGUAUCUAACACUAAAACGUGACUAGAUACAUCUGUAUCUAGACAAAUCUAGGACAAGAAAUUUAGAACGGAGGGCGUAAAAG
rfam:Triticum aestivum genome assembly, contig: Triticum_aestivum_CS42_TGACv1_scaffold_129603_2BL